AGCUUUGAGAGAUUUGUUAAUUGAUCAUGGCAUAAUAAUAAAAAGGUUUUUUUGGUUGGAGGAUAAUAAAAAGGUUCAAGCAGUAAUUUGCCAAAGGCAUAAUUGCAUCAAUACUGCGCGUUUCAUUAAAAGGAAACAAAAACAAUGCGAAGACGACGUCGUUUGCACUACAGAAAAAUGAAAACAAAAAAACCCUAGUCAUCUUCCUCGUUUGAAAGGCCUUGCAACACGCCUCAGGAAAGAGGGGCAUUGACUGCACGACUGGACCUAGCUAGUCAACUGAAAGCCAUGCAACAUUUUACCCAAAAAAAAAAAAAAAAAGCCAUGCAAUAUUUCCAGGACCCAAGUCCACAUGAAUUAUUAAAUUGUUUGACUGCUUUAGAACAGACAUGGAAAUUGUUUAUACCUAAUUAAACGGCCUAUUUCCACAGGACAUGUGGACAGGAUCCACUCUGAUCACAGGGCCCCUACGGCAUGCUCACUACCGAAGCUAUAUAUCUUGGCCCUUUUUACCAACAGACACGUGUCGUGUUCACAAUCCAUGCCUGGAGUCUCACAUCGGAAAAAUGAGCACAAAGCACACCUCCCAAGGUCUAUAUAAGGAGACCCAUAUCCCCAAAAGGAAAAGAAGAAGAACUAACGGUACGCUAUCGUGUGAUCUGUCAGUUAACCUUACUAAAUCCAUACUCAUUUAGGCAUCGGAGAGCCUUCGGCCGGUACCGCACCGGUACCCCAAGGAUUUACCGAACGCGUCCUUUUGCAGGUACUUGACCCUCUGGAGUGGACCACUUACCAAGGACAGGGACCUACCGAAGGGACAUUUUGACUAAGUUGACGAAUUACGUAUCAAACCACUUUUUCGC
rnacentral:lncRNA from 1 species